UACGUAGGGUCCGAGCGUUGUCCGGAAUACUGGGCGUAAAGCGUGCGCAGGCGGUUGUGCAAGACAGAUGUGAAAUCCCCGGGCUUAACCUGGGAACUGCAUUUGUGACUGCACGGCUAGAGUGUGUCAGAGGGGGGUAGAAUUCCACGUGUAGCAGUGAAAUGCGUAGAUAUGUGGAGGAAUACCGAUGGCGAAGGCAGCCCCCUGGGAUAACACUGACGCUCAUGCACGAAAGCGUGGGGAGCAAACAGG
rnacentral:rRNA from 1 species